UUGCUUUGGCAGCACAGAUACUAAAAUUGGAACAAUACUGAGAAGAUUAGCAUGGCCCCUGAGCAAGGGUGACAUGAAAAUUUGUGAAGGAUUCCAUAUUUUU
ensembl:snRNA U6 U6 spliceosomal RNA